ACUGAUAAAGGUAAACCUUGAGUAAUCAGGGGGCGCAAAGCUAUGGAUCCUCUAGAAGAGGACCGCCAGGCUGCCAAAG
rnacentral:ncRNA from 1 species